AUUAUCUUACUCUAUGCCGAGGUAUGCCAAAUGUAAACAAACUGAAGAUAAAGAACAUAAUGGGAACUUGUCUUAUAAUAUCUCCACCUCUUUUUCCUAUCAAAACAGAAAAGUGAAUCGUGGUUUACUACAUUGUUGCUCGUAUCAAAUUCAAAGGUAUAGAAAAAAAACCUAAACAAUAAUAACAAUGAACUGUGCAACAAAUUCCAUGAAUGUUGUCGCAGUUUCAGUGCCAAUAAACAAAGCUUGAGAACCUUGAUUACGACUGCCUCGGACUAGUUACAACAGCGACGGUGGGCAUUGCUAGAACUGGGGAGCUAAGGAAGUGUAAAAGUUAGCUAAUGAAUGCGAAAAAUCACCGUUAAUGGAAGUUUUCCAGUGAAUUCCCGGAGCGUUGUGCUGACAUGUUUGCGAUUUGAUAAGAAGUCAAUAAGCUUAUAGUAAAAGCAAAUAAAAAAA